GAUGAACGCUAGCGAUAGGCCUAACACAUGCAAGUCGAGGGGCAUCACAUGAAGUAGCAAUACGGAUGGUGGCGACCGGCGCACGGGUGAGUAACACGUAUGCAACCUGCCUUCAACAAGGGGAUAACCCGUUGAAAGACGGACUAAUACCCUAUAACACAGGGGUCCCGCAUGGGAAUAUUUGUUAAAGGACAACCGGUUGAAGAUGGGCAUGCGUUCCAUUAGCUAGUUGGCGGGGUAACGGCCCACCAAGGCAACGAUGGAUAGGGGAACUGAGAGGUUUAUCCCCCACACUGGUACUGAGACACGGACCAGACUCCUACGGGAGGCAGCAGUGAGGAAUAUUGGUCAAUGGACGCAAGUCUGAACCAGCCACGUCGCGUGAAGGAAGACGGCCCUACGGGUUGUAAACUUCUUUUAUACGGGAAUAAAGUGCCCCACGCGUGGGGUUUUGCAUGUACCGUAUGAAUAAGGAUCGGCUAACUCCGUGCCAGCAGCCGCGGUAAUUCACUAUCGAC
rnacentral:rRNA from 1 species